UAAAUUGAAGAGUUUGAUCAUGGCUCAGAUUGAACGCUGGCGGCAGGCCUAACACAUGCAAGUCGAACGGUAACAGGAAGAAGCUUGCUUCUUUGCUGACGAGUGGCGGACGGGUGAGUAAUGUCUGGGAAACUGCCUGAUGGAGGGGGAUAACUACUGGAAACGGUAGCUAAUACCGCAUAACGUCGCAAGACCAAAGAGGGGGACCUUCGGGCCUCUUGCCAUCGGAUGUGCCCAGAUGGGAUUAGCUUGUUGGUGGGGUAACGGCUCACCAAGGCGACGAUCCCUAGCUGGUCUGAGAGGAUGACCAGCCACACUGGAACUGAGACACGGUCCAGACUCCUACGGGAGGCAGCAGUGGGGAAUAUUGCACAAUGGGCGCAAGCCUGAUGCAGCCAUGCCGCGUGUAUGAAGAAGGCCUUCGGGUUGUAAAGUACUUUCAGCGGGGAGGAAGGGAGUAAAGUUAAUACCUUUGCUCAUUGACGUUACCCGCAGAAGAAGCACCGGCUAACUCCGUGCCAGCAGCCGCGGUAAUACGGAGGGUGCAAGCGUUAAUCGGAAUUACUGGGCGUAAAGCGCACGCAGGCGGUUUGUUAAGUCAGAUGUGAAAUCCCCGGGCUCAACCUGGGAACUGCAUCUGAUACUGGCAAGCUUGAGUCUCGUAGAGGGGGGUAGAAUUCCAGGUGUAGCGGUGAAAUGCGUAGAGAUCUGGAGGAAUACCGGUGGCGAAGGCGGCCCCCUGGACGAAGACUGACGCUCAGGUGCGAAAGCGUGGGGAGCAAACAGGAUUAGAUACCCUGGUAGUCCACGCCGUAAACGAUGUCGACUUGGAGGUUGUGCCCUUGAGGCGUGGCUUCCGGAGCUAACGCGUUAAGUCGACCGCCUGGGGAGUACGGCCGCAAGGUUAAAACUCAAAUGAAUUGACGGGGGCCCGCACAAGCGGUGGAGCAUGUGGUUUAAUUCGAUGCAACGCGAAGAACCUUACCUGGUCUUGACAUCCACGGAAGUUUUCAGAGAUGAGAAUGUGCCUUCGGGAACCGUGAGACAGGUGCUGCAUGGCUGUCGUCAGCUCGUGUUGUGAAAUGUUGGGUUAAGUCCCGCAACGAGCGCAACCCUUAUCCUUUGUUGCCAGCGGUCCGGCCGGGAACUCAAAGGAGACUGCCAGUGAUAAACUGGAGGAAGGUGGGGAUGACGUCAAGUCAUCAUGGCCCUUACGACCAGGGCUACACACGUGCUACAAUGGCGCAUACAAAGAGAAGCGACCUCGCGAGAGCAAGCGGACCUCAUAAAGUGCGUCGUAGUCCGGAUUGGAGUCUGCAACUCGACUCCAUGAAGUCGGAAUCGCUAGUAAUCGUGGAUCAGAAUGCCACGGUGAAUACGUUCCCGGGCCUUGUACACACCGCCCGUCACACCAUGGGAGUGGGUUGCAAAAGAAGUAGGUAGCUUAACCUUCGGGAGGGCGCUUACCACUUUGUGAUUCAUGACUGGGGUGAAGUCGUAACAAGGUAACCGUAGGGGAACCUGCGGUUGGAUCACCUCCUUACCUUAAAGAAGC
rnacentral:rRNA from 1 species